rnacentral:rRNA from 1 species
GAUGAACGCUAGCGGCAGGCCUAAUACAUGCAAGUCGAACGGUAAGUAUUUUAGCAAUAGAAUACGAGAGUGACGUACGGGUGCGUAACACGUAUGCAACCUACCCUUUACAGGAGGAUAGCUCGGGGAAACUCGAAUUAACCCUCCAUGAGAUCACAGUGUGGCAUCACACAGUGAUUAAAACUCCGGUGGUAAAGGAUGGGCAUGCGUCUGAUUAGUUAGUUGGCGGGGUAACGGCCCACCAAGACGAUGAUCAGUAGGGGAACUGAGAGGUUGAUCCCCCACACUGGCACUGAGAUACGGGCCAGACUCCUACGGGAGGCAGCAGUAGGGAAUAUUGGUCAAUGGAUGGAAGUCUGAACCAGCCAUGCCGCGUGCAGGAAGAAGGCCUUCUGGGUUGUAAACUGCUUUUGCCAGGGGAUAAAGAGACCAUGCGUGGUUAAUUGAAGGUACCUGGUGAAUAAGCCACGGCUAACUACGUGCCAGCAGCCGCGGUAA